GGGCAGCGACGGCAUCUCCGAUACGCCUCUUCAUUUGUGGGAACGAGCCUUUGCUCGUCCGCGGUCGGGUUUCCUGUGCUGCAUACCCCUUGCGAGGGCAUUCGGUUGGCUAAAAUGUCCCCAUCUCCGCCUUGUGCUGGCGCCCCGUGCGGGCGUUCGGUGCGGGGUUGGAUCUCAUAUCGUGCGUUGUGUUUCGCGCCGCAUUCACCCGACGUGGUGUUUGGGUAGGCGACCCACGACGUGAUGCGCGUUGUCUCGGGUACGGAACAUCGGGUGGGUUCGAGGCAUUGGCCUCCGAUCACCACAAAAAUGCGUUCCACGCAUUAUGCGAACGACGGCCGCACACGACCCUCGGCAGGGCACUAGCUGCUCGGCCGAAGCCGCGUCGGCGUCGGUGAGGGAUGCUACCUGGUUGAUCCUGCCAGUAGUCAUAUGCUUGUCUCAAAGAUUAAGCCA
rnacentral:misc_RNA from 1 species